rnacentral:rRNA from 1 species
UACAGAGGGGGCAAGCGUUGUUCGGAAUUACUGGGCGUAAAGGGCGCGUAGGCGGCCUGUUAAGUCGAACGUGAAAUCCCCGGGCUCAACCGGGGAACUGCGUCUGAUACUGGGUGGCUUGAAUUCGGGAGAGGGAUGCGGAAUUCCAGGUGUAGCGGUGAAAUGCGUAGAUAUCUGGAGGAAUACCGGUGGCGAAGGCGGCAUCCUGGACCGACAUUGACGCUGAGGAGCGAAAGCUAGGGGAGCAAACGGG